UGAGAGGGUCAAAACCUUCCUGCCCUGAAUUCAAUGGACUACCAGGAUGAGCAAAGGGAAUCAAUACACAGUGCAGUAUGAAUUUAAUGUAUGUAAGCCACACUGCAUUUUUAAUCAGCUAUAUAUUUAUUGUAGAGAAGAGUAACAAAUUACAGUACCACUAGCACACAAAAGCUUAUGGCAUUCCAUUAUUCUUAAUUAAUAGGUAAGAAUACAGAGAUCUCAACAAAACCUAUGAGCCUUCAUGUGGAGCUUCAUUGUUAAUUCUGGGGAGGUGAAACCAACUGUGUCAAGUAGUGUGACAGAUUUUGAUGGAUACCAUGAGAAUGUGCUGUUUGUCAUGUUGGAGAUCUGAUCAGAAGGGCAGGAGGUACAUGACCUGAAGGCUUUCUAGGCUGCUGUUUUUGUACAGAAGUUCAUUUUUUGAGAGGAAGAAUGUAAUGUCAGAGAUGCUCAGAGAAGGGGACAGUCUGAAACACGCACAGAAGAAUCACCCACUGCUGUUUUGCUUGGUUUCUGCAUUGUCAGGAGCAUGAGACAAAGCCAAAAACCACCUCUCCCACUUUCCUGUGGCUGCUGCAUCCUUUAAACCCAGCUUGGAGCAAGGGAGUGGAGCAAGCACAUUGCACCACCAGUGAACCUAAAGAAGGUUUAUGGGUUGAUGUUUGUUUCUGAUCCAGAGCUAGGAGAGAAUUGUGGAACUGACACAAAUGCAAUAAAUGGUAGAGGCCGGGUACCCAAGAUGGGUACAGCAACUAUUCAAAUAAAUUAUUCAGAGAAAUGACAUGAUAUUUUAUGAAACCUGGUCCACUUACAUGUAAGAGGUUGAAUACUUGUGCCAGGGGCUUGAUGACCUUUCCUGUAGCAGUCUCUGCUCAGAGAUUCAAAGAAUCCUAAUUAGUGGUAUCUCUUUGGGAGGGAGAGAAAGAUUAUUACUUUGCUUUCACUUCUGAAGAUAAUACUUAUGUAGUGGUAGCCUAUCUUUGGCAACAAUUUCAAUAUUCAAAUUAUAGUUUUAAUGACCCUAUAAGCAUUCCUAGUUCAAAACAAAGAACUAGGGAGCAAAGACAAGUUGCAAGGGAUGGGUGCAAGAAAAAUAUUUUAAAAAUAGGAUUAUUGUGAAAAUCAACAAAGUCUCAAUCAGGUUGUGUCACUAUUAAAACUCCUUUGUAAAUUCCUGCAGUUUCAGAGAUGAGGCCAGUUUACUGACAAGGGCUCAAAUGUCUAACAUUGGAAUUCCUGAGAGGUUUUUUGUGCCCAAACGUUACCAAUUGACACAGGAUACUCUGAACAUCAUGGUGAAAUUAAGUAAUAGGACAAAUCUUUACCAUAGUGAAGUAUCAAACAAACCCUUCAUUUGACAGGAACAAGCAAAGAGACACAUCAAUUUUGGAAUGCAUUUCCUUUAACUUCAUCAUAUUUAAUUGAGGUCAUAAUCUUUACAAAAAAAUAAAUAUUUUAAUUUGCUAAAUGUUGCUCUGAAUGAAGCUGUCUUCCAAGGGUGUAGGAGUAAAUGAGUAAAUCUCAGAUGGGCCCACCUAAGGCAUGAGCACAAAACAACUCUAAGCACUUAAAUUAGGCAAGUACCUUUCCCUCUCCCUCUGUGGAGCUGAUUGGCAAAUGCAGUGUAUGGUUUGUGCUUUGAAGCUGUGCAACCUUUAAGUGCUUGUAUUUCAGCAUGCAGAGCCCUGUUGAAAUUUAUGGUGUUACUUACUUGCUUUGAGUUUUUAAAUGUCACUAAAGGGAUUGGGAUAAUCUGGAAUGCCAAGGAACUGUCUGUAGUCUUUGGGUGGCAUGCCCCACAGUGCUUAUUUCCCUCCUCAUAAGGUGUUAAAUCCUGUAAAUAUUUAUUCAUACAAACCUAUUUUAACCUGGUGUUUAAAAUGCACCUCUGAUUUUGGUGGGGCUUGAGGAAGUUAAUUUAGGAAUGGGUCAGAAUUAGGCAGCAGCUGAAGUGGUUUGCAUGUCUAGGGAGCAAUGCAUAAUACAAAGAUAAGAGAUUGGGUAAAAUAGGUAUAAACCAUGUUAAAAGCUUUUAAUUUUUACAUGUCCUUUUACUGUAAGUAUCUGUGUAGUCCAUUGGGUGUGAUUUGCAUGACAUUCUUUUCACAUCUUUGACGGUGAAAGUGAAGAAGUGCUAAUAUGUGCUUCAGUGUCACAGACCAAGCAGCUUAAAGUCGCUUUCAAUGUAAAUAAGAAUUAUUCCUAUAGAUUCAGUGAUAUAGUGAUACAUUGAUACAGUGAUGCAUAACCUCAAGAUAUGCAAAAAUGUAGUGAUAUGCCUAACAAUUUGCAGAAGUGGACCUAAAGUGAGUAGAUUUCUCUUUUGCAGGCAAAACUUAAUACCACAAGUGAAAAUGUAAGUGAAAGGAGUUAAGCCAUUCUUCUUAUAUAAAAAUAUUGUUUUGUUAGUUCUAAUUUUAAUUUCCUAAGUUUUUUCCAAGUCAGAGGUGUUUGAGAAUCAGAAACAUUGGAGAGCUCUUGUGUUUAAUAAGGGCUGCUGUCUUUUGUCAUUUGAGGGAAAAAAAAAAAGAAAAGAAAUGGCAAUGAAAGCUAUUUUGCUAAUGUUUUUAUCUAUUCUGUGACUGACAUCAAUAAUACAUAACAGUUCCAUUGACAUUGCAUCCUGUCCAAUGGACCCACUGACCUGAUUCAAUGUCAGCUGAAAUGCCUCGUACAUCAUAAACAUACAUGAAUUCUCAUAGAUCCAUUAUCCUCCAGUCCAGGAGUGCCAGGGAUCCAAUGCUAAGCCUACAGGAGUUUGAAUUCUUUUUCUUUCAGUUUAUAUUUAUGAAUGAUAAUGAUGUCAAUAGUCUUUCAGAUACUUGGCUGAUAAGCCUGUGGUGUACAAACCCAGAUAAAUACCUCAUACCUUGUCAGGAGAGCCUGCAAACCUGAUAUGUCAUUCUGCUUUAUUGUGCAAGAAUAUAUGAAUCAUAAUAUUCCUAUUAACAUUGUACAAAGUCUGCAGUAGUUGGAGACUUCACCCAAUGACAGUACAACUUUCAUAAAAAUAUGGAUGGUUAGCAUGUGCCCCUGCUGUGAUUUCAUUGCCACUAAAAGCAAAGGGAACACAAAUGAAAAAUAUUCCAAAGUUUUCUAUUGGUCCCCCUGAACAGUACACUGCAGCAGUAUAUAUUUGUUUUACCAUUGAGCCUGUUUAGCAGUCAAACUGUAGGAAAUUGAAUACACACUUACUGUAUAAAAAUGAUAUGCUUGGUUAGUGAUACUUUAGAAGAAAUAAGUGCAUCAAUCAUAGAAUAGCAGGUUGUCAAGGCUUUAUAUGUAGGAAAAACACAGAACAAAGAAUGUAAUGCAUGUUGGGCACCUUUUUACAAAAGUUUCAUGCCAAAGUUGAUUUACAAUGAAUGUUUCCCUCCCUUUCUCCUCCCAAAUUCUCCUAAAGAAAUGUUCAAAGAAAUCUGAGCAAACUAUCAUACUCUGUU